UUUGGUUAAGUUAGAAAGGGCGCACGGUGGAUGCCUUGACACUAGGAGUCGAUGAAGGACGGGACUAACGCCGAUAUGCUUCGGGGAGCUGUAAGUAAGCUUUGAUCCGAAGAUUUCCGAAUGGGGAAACCCACCAUACGUAAUGGUAUGGUAUCCUUAUCUGAAUACAUAGGAUAAGGAAGACAGACCCAGGGAACUGAAACAUCUAAGUACCUGGAGGAAGAGAAAGCAAAUGCGAUUUCCUGAGUAGCGGCGAGCGAAACGGAACAUAGCCCAAACCAAGAGGCUUGCCUCUUGGGGUUGUAGGACAUUCUAUACGGAGUUACAAAGGAACGAGGUAGACGAAGCGACCUGGAAAGGUCCGUCGUAGAGGGUAACAACCCCGUAGUCGAAACUUCGUUCUCUCUUGAAUGUAUCCUGAGUACGGCGGAACACGUGAAAUUCCGUCGGAAUCUGGGAGGACCAUCUCCCAAGGCUAAAUACUCCCUAGUGAUCGAUAGUGAACCAGUACCGUGAGGGAAAGGUGAAAAGCACCCCGGAAGGGGAGUGAAAGAGAUCCUGAAACCGUGUGCCUACAAAUAGUCAGAGCCCGUUAACGGGUGAUGGCGUGCCUUUUGUAGAAUGAACCGGCGAGUUACGAUCCCGUGCGAGGUUAAGCUGAAGAGGCGGAGCCGCAGCGAAAGCGAGUCUGAAUAGGGCGUUUAGUACGUGGUCGUAGACCCGAAACCAGGUGAUCUACCCAUGUCCAGGGUGAAGUUCAGGUAACACUGAAUGGAGGCCCGAACCCACGCACGUUGAAAAGUGCGGGGAUGAGGUGUGGGUAGCGGAGAAAUUCCAAUCGAACCUGGAGAUAGCUGGUUCUCCCCGAAAUAGCUUUAGGGCUAGCCUUAAGUGUAAGAGUCUUGGAGGUAGAGCACUGAUUGGACUAGGGGUCCUCAUCGGAUUACCGAAUUCAGUCAAACUCCGAAUGCCAAUGACUUAUCCUUAGGAGUCAGACUGCGAGUGAUAAGAUCCGUAGUCAAAAGGGAAACAGCCCAGACCGCCAGCUAAGGUCCCAAAGUGUGUAUUAAGUGGAAAAGGAUGUGGAGUUGCUUAGACAACUAGGAUGUUGGCUUAGAAGCAGCCACCAUUUAAAGAGUGCGUAAUAGCUCACUAGUCGAGUGACUCUGCGCCGAAAAUGUACCGGGGCUAAAUACACCACCGAAGCUGCGGAUUGAUACCAAUGGUAUCAGUGGUAGGGGAGCGUUCUAAGGACAGUGAAGUCAGACCGUAAGGACUGGUGGAGUGCUUAGAAGUGAGAAUGCCGGUAUGAGUAGCGAAAGACGGGUGAGAAUCCCGUCCACCGAAUGCCUAAGGUUUCCUGAGGAAGGCUCGUCCGCUCAGGGUUAGUCAGGACCUAAGCCGAGGCCGACAGGCGUAGGCGAUGGACAACAGGUUGAUAUUCCUGUACCACCUCUUUAUCGUUUGAGCAAUGGAGGGACGCAGAAGGAUAGAAGAAGCGUGCGAUUGGUUGUGCACGUCCAAGCAGUUAGGCUGAUAAGCAGGCAAAUCCGCUUAUCGUGAAGGCUGAGCUGUGAUGGGGAAGCUCCUUAUGGAGCGAAGUCUUUGAUUCCCCGCUGCCAAGAAAAGCUUCUAGCGAGAUAAAAGGUGCCUGUACCGCAAACCGACACAGGUAGGCGAGGAGAGAAUCCUAAGGUGUGCGAGAGAACUCUGGUUAAGGAACUCGGCAAAAUGACCCCGUAACUUCGGGAGAAGGGGUGCUUUCUUAACGGAAAGCCGCAGUGAAUAGGCCCAAGCGACUGUUUAGCAAAAACACAGCUCUCUGCGAAGCCGUAAGGCGAAGUAUAGGGGGUGACACCUGCCCGGUGCUGGAAGGUUAAGGAGAGGGGUUAGCGUAAGCGAAGCUCUGAACUGAAGCCCCAGUAAACGGCGGCCGUAACUAUAACGGUCCUAAGGUAGCGAAAUUCCUUGUCGGGUAAGUUCCGACCCGCACGAAAGGUGUAACGAUUUGGGCACUGUCUCAACCAGAGACUCGGUGAAAUUAUAGUACCUGUGAAGAUGCAGGUUACCCGCGACAGGACGGAAAGACCCCGUGGAGCUUUACUGUAGCCUGAUAUUGAAUUUUGGUACAGUUUGUACAGGAUAGGCGGGAGCCAUUGAAACCGGAGCGCUAGCUUCGGUGGAGGCGCUGGUGGGAUACCGCCCUGACUGUAUUGAAAUUCUAACCUACGGGUCUUAUCGACCCGGGAGACAGUGUCAGGUGGGCAGUUUGACUGGGGCGGUCGCCUCCUAAAGUGUAACGGAGGCGCCCAAAGGUUCCCUCAGAAUGGUUGGAAAUCAUUCGUAGAGUGCAAAGGCAUAAGGGAGCUUGACUGCGAGACCUACAAGUCGAGCAGGGACGAAAGUCGGGCUUAGUGAUCCGGUGGUUCCGCAUGGAAGGGCCAUCGCUCAACGGAUAAAAGCUACCCCGGGGAUAACAGGCUUAUCUCCCCCAAGAGUCCACAUCGACGGGGAGGUUUGGCACCUCGAUGUCGGCUCAUCGCAUCCUGGGGCUGUAGUCGGUCCCAAGGGUUGGGCUGUUCGCCCAUUAAAGCGGUACGCGAGCUGGGUUCAGAACGUCGUGAGACAGUUCGGUCCCUAUCCGUCGUGGGCGUAGGAAAUUUGAGAGGAGCUGUCCUUAGUACGAGAGGACCGGGAUGGACGCACCGCUGGUGUACCAGUUGUUCUGCCAAGGGCAUAGCUGGGUAGCUAUGUGCGGAAGGGAUAAGUGCUGAAAGCAUCUAAGCAUGAAGCCCCCCUCAAGAUGAGAUUUCCCAUAGCGUAAGCUAGUAAGAUCCCUGAAAGAUGAUCAGGUUGAUAGGUUCGAGGUGGAAGCAUGGUGACAUGUGGAGCUGACGAAUACUAAUAGAUCGAGGACUUAACCAUAUAA
rnacentral:rRNA from 1 species